rnacentral:rRNA from 1 species
UGGAUCCAGACUUUGAUUCUGGCUCAGGAUGAACGCUAGCUACAGGCUUAACACAUGCAAGUCGAGGGGAAACGACAUCGAAAGCUUGCUUUUGAUGGGCGUCGACCGGCGCACGGGUGAGUAACGCGUAUCCAACCUGCCCACCACUUGGGGAUAACCUUGCGAAAGUAAGACUAAUACCCAAUGAUAUCCCACGAAGGCAUCCGAAUGGGAUUAAAGAUUUAUCGGUGAUGGAUGGGGAUGCGUCUGAUUAGCUUGUUGGCGGGGUAACGGCCCACCAAGGCUACGAUCAGUAGGGGUUCUGAGAGGAAGGUCCCCCACAUUGGAACUGAGACACGGUCCAAACUCCUACGGGAGGCAGCAGUGAGGAAUAUUGGUCAAUGGGCGAGAGCCUGAACCAGCCAAGUAGCGUGCAGGAUGACGGCCCUAUGGGUUGCAAACUGCUUUUAUAAGGGAAUAAAGUGAGUCUCGUGAGACUUUUUGCAUGUACCUUAUGAAUAAGGACCGGCUAAUUCCGUGCCAGCAGCCGCGGUAAUACGGAAGGUCCGGGCGUUAUCCGGAUUUAUUGGGUUUAAAGGGAGCGUAGGCCGGAGAUUAAGCGUGUUGUGAAAUGUAGUGGCUCAACCUCUGCACUGCAGCGCGAACUGGUCUUCUUGAGUACGCACAACGUGGGCGGAAUUCGUGGUGUAGCGGUGAAAUGCUUAGAUAUCACGAAGAACUCCGAUUGCGAAGGCAGCUCACGGGAGCGCAACUGCGCUGAAGCUCGAAAGUGCGGGUAUCGAACAGGAUUAGAUACCCUGGUAGUCCGCACGGUAAACGAUGGAUGCCCGCUGUUGGCCUGAAUAGGUCAGCGGCCAAGCGAAAGCAUUAAGCAUCCCACCUGGGGAGUACGCCGGCAACGGUGCAACUCAAAUGAAUUGACGGA